ACGAAUGAGUAACUCGUCGUAACCUGCUGCCUCAUAGACGAUGAUAUUGUAGACGACGAUUACUCCGCCGGAUAACAGAUGUUGUCUGAUGUUUGCUCUUUAAGAGUUGUUGCCGGCUACCCUAUGGACCUGCUUUGUAUUAGCAAGUUGGUGGGGUAACGGCUCGGCCUACGACGAUAACUAUGCGACCUGGACCUGAGAUCGUGAUCGCUGGGACGGGACUGAGACCGACUCCUACUCCUGGCAGAGGUAGGGAAUCUUCAUCUUCGGACAUGGAUCUGACUCUGACCCACCACGUGAGUGUGAAAGGUUAUCGGAUUCGGAUCCUCUGUUUCUGUAGAAAAACAAGAGUGAGUGUGAAAGUGUCACGCUGUGACUGUGUCUUUAUCUAACCGGACGGGUAACUAUAUGUACGUGCCCGCGGUAAUACUUAUGUCCCGAGCGUUAUCGUUGUUUAGAGUUAUUGAGCCUAGCGCGAGCGCUUACAUAUAUAUGAGUCCGAAGGCUGUGGCUGAGGCUUAGUACGCUUUGGCUACUGAUUCUGUUGAGUGCGAGAGCGAGAGAGUGAAAUUGCAUGUGUAUGUGUGAAAGGCAUAUGUAUAUAUAUGAACAGCAGUGGCGAAGGCGACUCUCUGUCUCUGUACCUGAAACUGACGCUCAAGAUCGAAAGCGAGCAGAAGCGAUUAGGAUAUAGAUGACUAGUGCUAGUCGAC
rnacentral:rRNA from 1 species